rnacentral:lncRNA from 1 species
AGCUUUGAAGCCGGCGAGCGGUGAGGAGGAGGCGCCCUCGCGUGUGGAGAGCGGACUCCGCCUGGACUCCACCGCCCACGGCCGCAUCCCAUCGCCGCACAAGAUCGCCGGAGUCAUAUUAUCGACGUAGUUAAAGCCCACUAGCCUAAAGCCGGGCGGACUGCGGUAAGGAGGCCCCGAGACCGAACCUGCAGCCCCUGCAGCCCCGGGGGGGCGCCGGGGAAGGGACUCCCGAGAGGUCGCGAGGGGCGGAAGGCCCUGCAGGUUGUCACCCGGAAAUAACGUUCUGAGGCCCCCCAGCCAGGCGAACGCACCCUGCUCGGCCACGGCCUCCGAGGCUAACCGGAAAGGUGCCAGGCCGAGGUGCAGGGGCGGGAUGGCCCCAGGAAGAGCCGAGGGCCGAGGAGGGCGUUGGGUGGGCUCCGCGCUGCCCGAACUGGGGCCGCAGUCUCCACUCCCUCCUGCCCCGCGGCCCUCCGCCGACAGCCAGGCGCCGGCGGGGAGUCCUGGACCCCUCCCGGGCCCUGGAAGCCCCGUCCCGCCGGAGCUGACGCGCCCUCUUGGUAUCCAUCCGGCCGCCUGGGCUGCCCCUCGCCCCUCGCCUUGGCAAAACCAGCCCCCGGACCGAGCCCUGCCUUGGAGAGUGUGGGUGCGCAAGGCCAGCCGAGCUGUCGGUUCCGGGGUUUCGGGGUGCGCCACUGUAUGGCGGCGUAAGCCGAGAAGUGUCCGAGGCCGGGCUCCAGCAGUUGAGAGGCUGAUUUGGCCACGGUGAAGGACGCGCCCGGAGGAAGGAAACGGGAAUCCGAAACGGGCGGUGGCCGCGCCUUUCCCGAGGCCGGCGUCGAGGGCUUCAGCGCCUCAGGGUGGGCGGGAGGGGAAGGUCGUGCGACCCGCGUGGCCGGCGGAAAGGAGCAGCGGGAGCCGCGGCCGUAGGGAAGCCACGGGAAGACGGGCGGCUGCGCUGCGAUGCGCGGCCCUCUCCCUGAAGCCCUCGGCUCAGGCGCCACAGGAAAGGCUCCUUCGGGCAGGCCUCAGCUUUCAGCUUAAGUUUUUUUCCUUUGGCCGAGUCAACUGCGGUGCCGAGUUGUAUUUUCCUUUCAGAGGUGUGUCCGAGAACCAUUCUUAGGAGACGCCUGCCGGCCGCUUUGGGAUAGGGCCUGUCUGCCCAUGCUGGCUUCCAAAGGCCUCUGUGUGUUCCUGUAUGUGGGCGUGCACGUACCUGUCACAUGUGUACGCGCAGACCACAGGAUGUCCACACUGGCUUCCAAACACAUCUCUGUGUUUCUGUCUGUGAGUGUGUACGCAGGUGUCAAAUGUGUACGCACAGAUCACAGGGUGUCCACACUGGCUUCCAAACACGUCUCUGGGUUCCUUUAUGUGCGUGUGUAUGCACUUGUCAUGUGUACACACAGAUCACAGGGCAUCCACACUGGCUUCCAAACAUGUCUCUGUGUUUCUGUCUGUGGGUAUGUACACACAUAUCACAUGUGGAAGAGGUAGGAAGAGGCUGGAACAGGUAAGGGUCAUGAAGGUGCAGUGCACUAUUGUACUGUUUGCGCUUUAUAUGUGUUUGGUUAGUUUUGCAAGAACAUGCUGGUGAAGGAGAGAGAACCCCAAACAAUUGAUUAGCAGUGCUACUGAAACUCAGAUAUACACAGGAAUGGCAAAGAAACAUCUAUGAAAAAAAGCAGAUUCUGGAACUCCAUCUCCCUGAGAUUGUCACUCAUGGGGUCUGCAGGAAGUUUCAGGAAUCUGCAUUUUCUUCUAAUAAACGUGGUCCACAGGUUAUAAGUUGAGAUACAAAUAGAAUAUAUAAAGUAAAAAAGGAAAAUUUGAAGUUUCCUGCCUAGCCCAACUCUUCUCAUUGGUAGUGUCUGUUAAAUUGGAAACAUAUCUCUUUCCAGACAUAUUAAUACCUUUUAUACAGUUGACUCUUGAACAACAUUAGUUUGAACUGCGUGAGUACACUUAUAUGUGGAUUUUUUUCAGUAAAUGGAAUAUUUUUGGCGAUGGCAACAAUUUUGUGAAAAACCUCACAGAUGAGUCGCUUAGCCAAGAAAUAUGGAAAAAAAAAGAAAAGAAAAAGCUAGAUAUGUCAUGAAUGCAUAAAAUAUAUGUAGAUACUAGGCCAUUUUAUUAUUUACUAUCAUAAAAUAUAUACAAGCCUGUUAUAAAAAGUUAAAAUUUAUCAAAACUUACACGUACAAACAGACAGUUACAUGGCACCCAUUAGGUUCAAGAGAGGUGUAAACAGUUGUAAAGAUGCAAUAUUAAAUAAUAACUGCAUCAAAUUCACUGUAGUACAUAGAGUACUACUGUAAUGAUUUUGUAGCCACCUCCUGUUGCUAUUGCAGUGAGCGUCAGUGUUGCUGGUAUUGGCUAAAAAUUCCAAGUAACAUAAUCAUCUCUGAGUGAGCAGUUGAUCUCUCCAGUACAUUGCAUAUCACAGUAAAAGGUAAGCUCUUGAGGUUCUCACAUAUUUCUCGUUGUGUUCACUGCAGUACUGUAAACCUUGCGUAACACCAUGGGACCAUUACGAAGUGCCGCUAGUGGUGCUGGAAAUGCUCCCAAGAAUCAGAGAAAAGUUAAUGACAUUACAGAAAAAGCGGAAUUGCUUGCUGUGUAUUGUAGAUUGAGGUCUGCAGCUAAGGUCGCCUGCCAUUUUAAGAUAAAUGAAUCCAGUAUAAGGACUGUGGUAUAAAAACAAAAGGAAGUUUAUGAAGCCAUCGCUGCAGCUACACCAACAAGCAUGAAAACCUUGCACUUUUUGGGAAAUACCUUUUUAUCUCAUAUUGCAAAUGCAGCUUUUUGUGGGUGCAGGAUUGCUAUGAGAAAGGCAUACCUAUAUAAUCUAAUAUUCAAGAAAAAGUGAAGUCAUUAUCUGACAAAGCAAAAGGAAGAUGAAGGAAGGUAUGAUAAUUUUAAAAAGUGGGUUGGCUUUCAAAAAAUGUCAAGAUAACAGGAGAAGCAGCUUCUGCUGACCCAGAUGCAGCCGACGAGUUCCCAGAUACCAUUAAGGAAAUUAUUGAGGACAAAAGGCCAGGCUUUGUGGCUCAUGCCUGUAAUCCCAGCACUUUGGAAGGCUGAGGUGGGUGGAUUGCUUGAAGCCAGGAGUUCGAGACCAGCCUGGCCAACAUGGCAAAACCCUGUCUCUUCUAAAAAUACAAAAUUUAGCCAGGUGUGGUGGUGCACAUCUAUAAUCCCAGCUACUGAGGAGGCUAAGGCAUGAGAAUCGCUUGAACCCAGGAGGCAGAGGUUACAGUGAGAUUGCACCACUGCACUCCAGCCUGGGAGACAGAAUGAGACUCUCUCAAAAAAAAAUAAAUAAAAAAUAAAAAUAAAAAAAAAUAGAGAAAAUCACUGAGGAGAAAAGAUAUCUGCCUGAACAGGUUUUUAAGGCAAACGAAAAUGCCCUAUUCUGGGGGAAAAUAGUGCCACAGAGGAUAUUUAUUAGGAAGAGAAGUGAACAUCAGGAUCCAAGGCGGGAAGGGAUGGGCUAACUGUACUGUUUUGUGCAAAUGCAGCCAGAUGUAUGAUCAGGACUGCCCUUAUCUAUAAAAUUGAGCCUUGAAGGGAAAAGAAACACUGCCUGCCACUCUUUUGGUUGUACAGCAAGAUGGCUGAGCAGCAACUCUUUUUCUGGAUCAGUUAUAUAAAUGCUUUGUUUUUAAAGUCGGGAAGUACCUUGCCAGUAAGGGAUUGCCUUUAAUGUUCUUUUGAUAUUGGACAAUGCCCCUGGCCACCCAGAACCCCAUGAGUUCAAUACAAACACAUUGAAAUGGUCUACAUGCGCCUAAACACAACACCUCUAAUUCAACCUCUAGAUAAGGGAGUCAUAAGGACUUUAAGGAUCAUUACACACAGUACUCUGUGGAAGAGAACCCCAAUUGAGAGAAUAUCAUGAACGUCUGAAAGGAUUACACCAUUGAAGAUGCCAUUGUUGUUUCAGAAAAAACCAUGAAAAGCCAUCAAGCCCAAACAAAUUCCUGCUGGAGGAACUCCAGAUGUUGUGCAUCACUUCACAGGAUUUAUGACAGAGCCAAUCAAGGAAAUCAUGAAAGAGAUUGCAGAUAUGGCAAAAAAGGUUUCAAGAUACAAAUCUUGGAGAAAUUCAAGAGCUAAGAGACACCACACCAGAGGAAUUAACAGAAGACCACUUGAUGGAGAUGACUCCUUCUGAACCCAGUGCCAGACGAUGAGGAAGAAGACGAAGCAGUGCCAGAAAACAAAUUGACAUUAGACAAUCUGGCAGAAGGGUUCCACUUAUUCAAUAUGGCUUUUGACUUCUCUUAUAACAUGGACUUUUCUAUGAAACAGGCACUGAAUCUAAAGCAAAUGGUGGAAGAAGAAUUGGUGCUAAAUGGAAACAUGUUUAGAGAAAUGGAAAAGCAAAAAAGUCAGACAAAUUAUGAUGUAUCUCCAUCAGAUUACACUUAUUGUGCCUCCCUCUCCUGCCUCCUCUUCCACCUCUUCUACUUCUGCCACCCCUGAGACAGCAAAGCCAACCCCCGCUUCUCAGCCUAUUCAAGGUGAAAAUUAUGAGGACGGAGACAUUUAUGAUGAUUCACUUACACUUAAUGGAGAGUAAAUAUAUUUUCUCCUCAUGAUUUCCUUAAAACGUUUUCUUUAGCUUACUUUAUUAUAAGAAUACAGUAUAUAACAUAUGUAACAUACAAAAUUGUCGAGUGCGGUGGCUCACAUCUGUAAUCCCAACACUUUGGGAGGCUGAGGCAGACGGAUCACUUGAGACCAGGGGUUUGAGACCAGCCUGGCCAACAUGGCGAAACCCCGUCUCUAUUAAAAAGAUAAAAAUUAGCCAGACAUGAUGGUGCGUGCCUGUAAUCGCACCUACUCGGGAGGCUGAGGCAGGAGAAUCUCUUGAACCCAGGAGGCGGAGGUUGCAGUGAGCCGAGAUUGCACCACUGCACUCCUUGCCUGGGUGACAGAGCAAGACUCCAUCUCAAAAAAAAAAAAGUGUUAAUUGUUUAUGUUGUUGGUAAGACUUCCGAUCAACAGUAGGCUGUUACUACAGUUUUGGGGGAUGGAAUUUUGACUGUGAGGGUCUGUGCCCCUAACCUCAUGUUGCUUAAGGGUCAACUGUACAUAGAUAUGUUACAUACACACACAUACUUCCUCCCUCUCUGUAAUUUGGAUCCUAUGCCUAUUAUCUUUUAGUUUACUAACUUGACUUAAGAAGUCCUGAUCAUUUUUUGAUGUUCAUGCAUACCGUAUAGAUCCUACCUCAUUUGACUCCUACAAAAUAUUUGUUAAGGGUGUUCUAAAAGUUACUUUUUGUAGUUAAACUACACUUUAUUUACAUUUGUUUGUUAUGGAAAUAAUGCAUAAUAAUCGUUAAAAAUCCAAACAAAAGGGGGGAACAUAUUAAAAGAAAAGUAAGGGUCUCCCUGCUACUCUACCUACCUACCCACCUACCUUAUCUGUUACCAUAUCCUAGACCCAACUGCAAUUAACAAUUUCUGGUUUUAGUUCUUCUGGUUCUUUUCAUUAUAACCUUAAAUACUGUACAUAUACAUCUUGACUCACCAGCUGAAAAUCCUUCAAAGGGACAAAAACUUAUUCUUAACUCCUAAUUUAAAAAAUUGUAUUACUUUUAGUUUUGCUAGAAGCUUUCAUGACUUUAGGUUGUUUACCUAAAUCAUUAUUUAUAAAUUUUACACACUGUAUAUUGGCUCCCUACUAGGAGAGGUGAGGAAUUGGUACAUUCUUACUUUCUCGUCUUUUCCCCUCCCCCUCCUAAUUUUGUUAGUUUCAUUCUCAUUUUUAGUCUGUCAAGAAUUUGCAUUCUUUUUGUAAAUAAAAUUACAGACAUCCCUUGGUAUCCAUGGGGGAUUGGUUCCAGGACCUCUCGUAUACACCAAAAUCCACAUACACUCAAAUCCCACAGUUGGCCCUGUGGAACCUGUGGAUAUGACCAUUCGCAUCCCAAGAAUACUGUAUUUUCCACCUAUUCUUGGUUUCAGUUGUGGAACCCACUGAUAUGGAGGGCCAACUGUAUAUAUUGAAAACAAUUUGCAUAUAAGUAGACCCACACUGGUUCAGACCCCUGUUGUUCAGGGUCAGCUCUAUAUCUUUCCAACUUUGUGCAUUGAUUGAAAAACCAACAACAGUAUGAUAUUAGGGCUAUAACAGAUCUGUUAGGCCAAGCCCACAUGCCCCUGAACAGAACAUUCUGCACAUUGGGCCAACUUCCAACUGCCGGCACCUGAAGUUAUUUGCAUUAUCAGCUAUCUUUGUCCACCAGAGCCUGCUCUGCCUGCAUUUUGGGAAGACCUAAAGUGCCAAGGAAUUAACACACCCUGCAAGUAUGCUCAAUUGAAGGCAAUGAAUAGAAAAAGACCCCUGACUCCUUCACCCCUGGAUUUCAGGGAGGUAAAUCCAAGAUGUAUGCUAAGGAGGUGACACUUAAUGUCAGACACACACACCUGUUAUGAGAGUUUCCUGAUUGAAUAAGAAAGAGGCAUUCCAGGCAGAAGUACCCGAACAUACAAGAGUGCAAGACCAAGAGGCUAAGGCAGAUUGCUCUGUGCAAGAAGUGGCAGGUAGUGUGGCGUGGCUGGAGAUGAAGAAAUGACUGGAUUGGGAAGGACUUUAUCCACCAAUCUAAUGAAUUUGACUUUCAUCUUGAAGGUGUGAAAUAGCGUGCUAAACAAGUUUAAAAGCAAAAUGUCAUUAGCCUAUUUGUAUUUAGAAAGAGCACUCCAGAAGCAAGGAGGGGAUGGGUGAAUUGGAUGUACUGACACUGGAACAAGGAAAUUAUUCCAAUAGUCCAGGAAAGAAGAAGGACAUCAACUAAAAUUGCACAAGUGAACAUGGAAAAAAGAGGAUGCGUCUGAGAAAUAUAAAUAUUGGCCGGGGCGGUGGCUCACACCUGUAAUCCCAACACUUCGGGAGGGUGAGGUGGGCAGAUUGCUUGAACUCAGGAGUUCAAAACCAGCCUGGGUAACAUGGCAAAACCCCUCUCUACACAAAAUACAAAAAUUAGCCAAGCGUGAUGGCAUGGCCUGUAGUCCCAGUUACUCAGGAGGCUGAGGUGGGAGGAUCACUUGAGCCUGGGAGGUUGAGGCUGCAGUGAGCCAUGAUCUCGCCACUGCACUCCCACCUGGGAGAUAGAGUGGGACCCUGUCUAAAAAAAAAAACAAAGAAAUAUAAAUAUUGUAUUAGGGUUUACCAAAGAAACAGAACCAAUACGAUAUAUGUAUGUAUACGGGUAUAUAUAUAAGGAGAUUCAUAUAAGGAACUGACUCACAAGAUCACUGAGGCUGGCAAGUCUACAGGAUGAGCCAGCAAGCUGGAGACCCAGGAGAACUGAUGGCAUAGUUCCUGACCAGAGGCUAGCAGGCUUGAAAUCCAGGAAGAGUCAGUGUUUCAAUCUGAGUCUGAAGGCAAGAAACAAGCUGAUGUCCCAGUCAAAAGAUCAGAAGGCAGGAGAGAUUCUUUCUUACUCAGGGAGGAUCAGUUUUUUUGUUUUAUUCAGGCUUCUAACUGAUUGGAUGAGACUCACUCAUAUGUUAGGGAGGUCAAUUUGCUUUACUCAGGCUAUCCAUUUAAAUGUUAAUCUCAUCCCAAAACACCCUCAUACACACACCCAGGAUAAUGUUUCAGCAAGUAUCUGGGCACUCUAUGGCCCAGUCAAGUUGACACAUAAAAUUAAUCACAAAUAUGUUCCAGUAACUUAGUUUUUAAACAACUAGAUUCUUAUGAGAAUAAACUCAGGAUAGGAUAGGGGAAAUGCUUUCUGGCUUUCCACUUGCAUAUUCUUGGAAUGUCACUUUUUCUUAAAUGUUAAAAAUUGAAGGCCAGGCAUGGUGGCUCAUGCCUGUAAUCCCAGCACUUUGGGAGGCUGAGGUGGGUGGAUCACGAUGUCAGGAGUUCCAGACCAGCCUGACCAUCAUGGUGAAACCCCAUCUUUACUAAAAAUACAAAAAAAUAGCUGGGAGUGGUGGCGCGUGCCUAUAAUCCCAACUACUCAGGAGGCUGAGGCAGGAGAAUCACUUGAAACCUGGGAGACGGAGGUUGCAGUGAGCCAAGAUCACGCCACCGCACUGCAGCCUGGGCAACAAGAAUGAGACUCCAUCUCAAAAAAAAAAAAAAAAAAUGAAAAUGUGUCGUUAAUCAUCGAGAUAGUCUUUCAGUCUGCACUCAGUAAUAUUAAUGCCUUCUCAUUGAAGUCAUCUAUUCUGUUCCCAUAAAGAUCAGGAUAGUUUAGGUAGUGGUGAAUAAAUAAGGUUCUCAAUGGCCUAUUAGUUUUUUUAAAUGUUCAAAAGAUAGUAGCAUGUUGGGAAAAGAGAUGAAUUCCACAUUUCUUUUGGUACAGUACAACUUACUGAAAUUGCUUUCUUAUUUCAACAAGGAUUUACCAGGUUGUGUGUAGUGGUUAAAAGCAUGGACUUUACAGCCACAUUACAUGGGUUCAAAUCCACUUACUAGUUAUGUUAACCACAGGAAGUUAGCUAAUGUCUCUCUGCCUCAGUUUUCUGUUUGUAAAUUAGGAUAAAAAUCUCCGUAGAUGUGAAUAUGUAUAGCUAGAUAGUAGAUUGUAUUCAAAAUCCCAAUCAUAACAUAAUAAAAAUAUUAACUAUUAUUAGUUGUUUUGAAUAUACAACCUAAUUUCAUUUUCUCCAUGAUCUGAGCAUGUUGAGUUAUUUUUAAACAACUCCAUUUUACAGAUGAGACAGUGUUCCAAUAAGCUAGGUAGUAUGCCCACAGACACACAGCUAGCAGCUGAGAUGAACCACCCAAGUCUAUUUGGUUUUCAGCUCAUGUUCUUUUCAUGAUAUUUUGCUUUCUCUCAAUAUUUAUAGAAUUUAAUUUAAUUGACUAGAAUUAAACUAAGAGAAAAUGAUUGAAUGAAGAGAUGCAGAAGGCAAGAGAUAGCAAAGGUCAUUCUGGGCUGGGCAUGGUGGCUCACACCUGUAAUCCCAGCACUUUGGGAGGCCUAGGCGGGUGGAUCAUCUGAGGUCGGGAGUUCAAGACCACCCUGGCCAACAUGGUGAAACACCCCCGUCUGCUAAAAAUACAAAAAUUAGCUGGGUGUGGUGGCAGGCGCCUGUAAUUGCAGCUACUCGGGAAGCUGAGGCAGGAGAAUCGCUUGAACUGGGGAGGUGGAAGUUGCAGUGAGCCGAGAUGUGCCAUUGCACUCCAGCCUGGGCAGUAAGAGCGAAACUCCGUCUCAAAGCAAAAAAAAGAAAAGCUACCUUUACCAAAGACAGUUAAAAUGAUGGCCACCAAGGGGCAGUGUGCAGCAGGCAGAGAAGGUGGCUUUUUAAAUUAUUUUUCACUGCCUGCUGAGACAAAGAUGUUACACCAGAAUAUGCCACCCUAACAUAUGCUUCUUUGGCAUAAGGAUUAUUUUGAGCUGAAGACGAUUGAGAAGAAACAAAUAAAAGAAAAACUCUGCCUUCCCUUUCUUUGCCUAAAGGCAGGACAUGCUAGUUAAUGAUCAACCCCUGACCUAAUCGGUUAUGUUACCUAUAGAUUACAGACAUUUUAUAGAAAAAGAAAAACACGGUGAAAAUCCCUGUCCUGUUCUGUUCCAUUGUAAUUACCAGUGCAUGCAGCCCCCAAUCACAUACCCACUGCUUGCUCAAUCGAUCAUGACACUCUCAUGUGGACCCCCUUAGAGUUGUAAGCCCUUAAGAGGGAAAGGAAUUGCUCACUUGGGGAGCUCGGUUUUUGGAGACGUGAGUCUGCUGAUGCUCCCAGCUGAAUAAAGCCCUUCCUUCUACAACUCGGUGUCUGAGGGGUUUUGUCUGUGGCUACAAACCUGUCUUUGGCCAGUCUAAUUUACAGGACCUCAGCCAGAGAACUAAGAUGGGUAGAGGCAAUACAGGAGAUAGAAAUAAUUUAGGUAGGUAGAUAGGGUGAAAGAGUCCCUGACAAAAGCUUUUCUUCUGACAAAAAACAGCUCAGAAAUUACUUCCAUUCUAACCACAGGCAGUCCAAAUAAAUCACUUCUCUUUUAACAAAGAGCAGCCUGGAAGAUUGGACUGUAUAAUGUAGAUAAGCAUCUCCGGCACAGAGGGAGAGUUUCUUGGGUAGUCACCAAACUUACAUAAAUGGGUCCCAGUAAAAACAGUAGGCUUUAAUGAGCACAUUCCUUUCCCCUUUUUUGGACAGGGACACACUAAGGUUAGCUAGAAGCUUGCAUGGUGGGGUGGGGGAAAUGCCUGCAGCUGCAAGGAGGUACCCAGGACAAGGCAUGGAAACUCCCCCUAUUCUUGUUAGCACAUGCAAGGUGGAAGGAGAAAGGCAGUGUGGAGUCGCCCAAGCUAAGAGCCUGCCUGCAUGAUAAAAGAAUGGGGUAGGGGCUGCCAGAGAUUCCACUCUAUACAGAUGACACACCUGGUCCUAACCAGGUUUUCAUGCCCUAUGUAGAUAAGAUACCCGCUCCCUACUAGCUCGUUGAUAAAAACCCUCCAUUUUACUGCAGCACGGCAACCCGUCUGGGACCUCUCUCUGUGAGAGAGAGCUGUCCUUUUCCUUUUGCCUAUUACACUUCUCUAACUUCACCCUUUGUGUGUCUGCAUUCUUCAUUUCUGUGGCCAUGAGACAAAAAACCUCAGCUGAUAUCCCAGACAACAAGGCUGCUUUAGAGGGAAAACGGAUAGCUAAUAUUAUCAGUUAAUUGGCUAUGUUAAUUGAUACCUUCAAAUUAGGUGUUUUAAAAUAAAUGCUGAGAACAAUAUGAAAGUGUUUUUCUUUUACUAAUUCUCUGAGGAUUUUGUUAUUUAUUUAGCUUUACAAUGCCUAGCCCCCUUUAUAAAUGUAAUUAUUGUGUUGCUAAGUGCAUGUAUACAAAAAAUUCAUUGGUUCAAAAGCCAUAGGCCUGGUACCAUAGCCAUAUAUGGUACGUUCAAACCUUGGAAAUGCACAUUCUCAGUGUGUCGGAAGCUCUGUACUGCUCCUUCUUGAAGAACUACUUUGAUUUGUGGUUAACUCGCUGUUUUGACUCACUGUUUUAACUCCCAUUACUUCAGUAUCUGACAUUCAGCCUCAGAAUCUGGCCAGUGUAUCAGGGCUGGAAUUAAUUGAUUAACACCAUUAGAUGGCAGUACUAUUUAAAUUCCAAAAAUGGUUAUAAACUCAUUCUCUAAAAUGUGUGUCAAAUAGAAUAUUUGACUGAUAAUAACUCUAAGAGCACAAAAGGAUUAAACACACACACAAGACAAAGUUUGGGAUAUACCCAUUGGAAAAACCCUUGGUCUCUUUAAAUUUUUUUUCAUAUGUAUGUAUAUUGCACAUAUUGCCGGCCUCUUUAUCUCUUUUUUCCUUUUUUUUUUUUUUUUUUUUGAGAAGGAGUCUUACUCUGUCACCCAGGCUGGAGCACAGUAGUGCAAACAUGACUCACUGCAGCCUUGAACUCCUGGGCUCAAGCGACCUUGUCACCUUAGCCACUGUGACCAGCCUUCUUUUCCCUUUUGACUUUGUUAUAUCACACUGACUCUAGAAAUGUGGUUCUUUAUUGGGGCGAUUUUGCCCUCCCCCGGGGACAUCUGACAAGGUCUGGAGACAUUUUGAUUGUGGGUAGGGGGAGGGACACUCUGCUACAGGCAUCUAGUUGGCAGAGCCCAGAGAUACCGCUACACACCCUACACUGUGCAGAACAGCCCCUACGGCCAGGAAUUAUCAGGCCCAAACAAAAUACCAAGUUAGUUUUUAAUUUCAAAGUUUACGCGUAACAUUAUUUUUUAGAUAUAAAAAAUAUUCACACAUUAAUUUGAUCACAAGAAAUUUUAAAGAAAUUUAAACAUUUUCAGAAAAGGCUACUUCAAGGUGUCAUGACAGCUUUGGACCAAACAUUAAUGUUCUAUAUGACUUUGGGCAAGUCAGUCAUGUUUAUUAGACUUAAUAACCCAGGUAACGUUAGCUGUUGGAGGGUUUUUUAAAAAACGUUUUAUUUUGAAAAAACUUCAAACUUAAAGGAAAAAUGGCAAGAAUACUACAAAGACCUAUUUAUUCAGAUACACCAGUUGUCACAAUUUUGCCAUAUUAACUUUAUCUAUUGAUCAAUUUCUCUUUCAGUCUAUUGACCUAUCUAUCUUGAACUAUUUGGGAUUAAGUUGUAGACAUCUGAUCCCCUUACCCUUAAACACUUUACCACGUCUUCCUAAGAAUAAGACCAUUACUCCACACAGUACACUUAUCUAAAUCAGGAGACAGCAUUGUUAUAAUACUGUUACCAAGUGGCAAGCUGGUGCACUGUCCAGACAGGGAGAGAGGGAGAGAGGACCUGAUUUGUAACAUUUGCCAGUUCCCAUGUGUGAUGGUUUACUUUGGUUCAUAACUACCAUUGUCCUUGUUACAGUCUUUUAUUAAAAUGUGGGGUGUGUUAGGCCGCAAGGGCAGGCCUCAAGAAACAGAAUCUCUCUCCUGCCCUCCUUUCACCUGCCCCAAGGCAGGAUUCCAUCUUCUCCCACCUUUCCAACUGUGGGUCUUAAGACUUUUCAGAGAGGGUCCUGCCAUACACACUGGGGGAAGGAAUGCUGACGUCAUGAAGCUUCCAUGAAAACUCAAGAGGACUGAGUUCAGAGAGCUUCCGGAUAGCUGAAAACAUGGAGGUUCCUGGUUCCUGGAGGGUGGCGCCCCAGGCAUGGAAGCUCUGAGCCCCUUCCUCCGCACCUCAUCUCUUCAUCUGUAUCCUUUGUAAUAUCCUUUAUUAUAAAACAGCAAAUGUGUUUCCCUGAGUUCUGUGAGCCACUCCAGCAAAUCAAUCAAACCCAAAGAGGGGGUCAUGGGAACCCCAACUUGAAGCUCAAUCAGAAUUUCCCAAGGCCCAGAUUUGCAACUGAUAUCUGGGGGUGAGGGUGGUCUUGGGGUCUGAGCCCUCAAUCUGUGGGAUCUGAUGCUACCUCCAGAUAGAUAGUGAAGGAACUGGGUGGAGGUCCUGGCUUGUGUCUGCCUCUUGGUGGUGGGGAGAAGUUCCCACACAUAUGGUCACAGGAGUCUUCUGUGUUGAUGAUUGCUGUUGUGGUGUGAGAGCAGAGGAAAAACACAGUUUGAGAGAGUUUUCCCAAAAUACCAUGGUAAGUGGCUCAUCAUGGCUGAUUUCAGGUUAUCAACAGCUUAACAACCAGCUCAAAACAUGCUUUGCUGUUUAACAAUCAACUCUCAGGGAAUCAGUGAACUGGUGAGCACAAAGCUACUGUUAACGAAUCCAUGGUUCAUAUGCAAAAGUUACCAACUGCUCUAAUAAUGUCCUUAAUAGUCAUGUUUUUUUCCAAGUUCAUGAUUCGGUCUGUAUCAUCAUUUGUCACCUCUCUUUAGUAUCCUUUAACCUGGAGUGGUUCCAGCCUGUUUUUGUCUACUGGGGCAUUGCUGUUCUUGAAAGAGUACAGGUCAGGUGUUUUGUAGAAUGCCUUUCAAUUAGGGUUUACCCAGUGUCUUCUCUGGAUUAGAUUUACAUUAUGCGUUUUUGGCAGGAAUACCACAUACAUGAUGUUUACUUGGUUCAUUGGAUAAGAAGCCCGUGAUGUCGGUUUGUCCUAUUAUUGGUGAUACCAAUUUUGGCCACUUGGUUAAGUGGCAUGUGUGAGGUUUUUUCAUUGUAAAACUGUUAUUUCCUUUUUGUAAUUAAUAUGAGACACUUUGAGACUACGCGGAUAUCCUCUCCCUCAUCAAACUUUUCUCCACCAACUUUAGCAUCUGGUUGCCACCCUCCAAAAUGGCCCCAGUGAUCCCAUCUCCUAAUAAGUACAUGUCUGUGUGGUCCUCUCCCACACUGCAUAGGAAUGGCUUACGUAACCAAUAGGUAGUUGAGGAUGUGAUGCAGUCUGACUUUUGAGGCUAAGUUGUAAAGAAAGACACUGUGUCUUCCUCCUUGUUGUCUUGGAGCGCUUGCUCUGGAGAAGCCAGAGGUCAUGUCGUGAGGAUACUCAAGUUGCCAUUUGGAGAGGUGCACAUGGUGAAGAAAUGAGGCCUACUGCCAAUGACCAUGUAAGUGAGCCACCACGGAGAUACUCCCAUAGCCCUGAUCAAGCCCUCAGAUUACUGCAGCCUCAGCUAGCAUCUGGACUGCAAUCUCAUGAGUAGGCCCAAGCCAGAAUCACCCAGAAAAGCCAUUCCCAAAUUCCUGUCCCACAAAAACUGUCCAAAAAUAAAAAAUAGCCACUAAGUUUUGGAGUAAUUUGUGGCAUGGCAGUAGAUAACUAAUAUAGCAUCCAUUGAAAACUUUUUUCUUGGCCGGGCACCGUGGCUCAUGCUUGUAAGCCCAGCACUUUGGGAGGCCAAGGUGGGUGGAUCACCCGAGGUCAGGAGUUAGAGAGUAGCCCAGCCAGCAUGGCAAAAACCUGUCUCUAUUAGAAAUACAAAAUUAGCCGGGCGUGGUGGCGCACACCAGUCAUCCCAGCUACUCGGGGGACUGAGGCAGGAGAAUCGCUUGAACCUGGGAGGCAGAGGUUGCAGUGAGCUGAGAUCGCGUCACUGCACUCCAGCCUGGGCGAUGGAGCAAGACUCUAUCUCAAAAAAAAAAAAAAGACAACUUUUUUCUUCAAUCAGUUACUAAUAAGAUGGCUGCAAAAUGGUGAGGUUUCAUCAUUUUGUUUUACUUCAUCAUAACAUCUACAUUUAUUAGUAGGCAUCUACUCUAAACAAGAGCUUUUCCUUCUUGUUUUAUUUAUUUAUUUAUAUCAGUUUGGUGUAUAGACUCCUAUUUUACUCAGUUAGUUAUAAUCCAUUAUUUUUAUUGUUUAUUUUGCUGCUCAGAUUGUCCCAGCCCUGGCUGGUGUCCUUUUGACUCCUGUGUCCUUUUACAGAGUCAGUGGUCUUCCCUCUCCCAGCUCUGGAGCCAGCCAUUUUUCCACGUAUCUCUAUUUCCUUUUAGUGGAGAAUGGUAUUCAGAAACCAAACUUACUGUCUAUAAAUAUUAUUCUGUACAUUCUGCUGAAAGUUUAAAAGUGUUGCUUUUUAUAUUUGAAUCCUUAAUCUCCCUGGAAUUUAGCGUAUGGAGUGAGGGAGAUAUCAAAUUUCAUUUUUUCACACAUAUAUAACCAAUUAUUUCAGCAUCUCUUAUAUUGAGGAGUUGCUUCUUUACCCAGAUAGCUACAAUGCUGACACUAACAUAAAUCAGCUUGAUAUAUGUCAGUUUUUUUCCUGGGUUCUCCAUUCUGUUUCAUUUGUAUGUGUUUCCAUAACUACACUAAUAACAGUGUUAAAUUAUUAAAACUGUAUAAUAUGUUUUGACAUCUGAUAGGGCAAUCUUUCAUUUAUUCUUCUCUUUCAGGAAUUCUUUGGCUAUUCUUAGGCCUUUUCUCAUCCAGAUAAGAUACUGAAUCAGCUUAUCAAGGGCCAACUUAUUGAAUUGUUAUUGAAUUUGAGAUGAAUCAAUAAAGAGAAAGGAGAGCCAUGAAAUUAGAAAAACUACCCUAAUUAAGUCUUCCCUUCUAAAAGUCAGGAAAACUAGCAUUACUUGAAAAUGAGUACCAAAAAAACUAAGGUCAAAUCCCAUACAAAGUCAUUAUGAAGAAAAAAAGAGAAUAAAACAUAAUUUCUUUAGAAAAUAAAUUAUGACAGAAAGCCAUGGCUUCAAAACAGAUGAAAACUAAAAUAUUUUAAAAUAAGUUAAUAAACAUCUAAAAUGACAUUAGAUAUGAAAAAAUGACGUGUCAGAUUUAGAAAUAUACAGAAAGGAGAUGACAAACUCAGAAAAGAAGUAAAAAUUUUAAAAACAUUUCAGAAAUGAAGAGAGAAAGAAACACGAGCAAAUAAACAGAACUGAUAAUGCAUUAAAAGAAAAGAUGAAAAAAUAUGAGGCUAUAAAAGAGACGUGUGGUACAGGAUAACGGUCACCCAAAGAUGUCCCCAUCCUAAUCUCCAGAACCUGUGCCUGUGUCACCUGACAUGGCAAAGUGACAGCAAAUGUGACUACCUUAUGGAUCUCAAGAGAGAAGCCUGAUCCUGGAUCAUCUGGCUGAGUCCAGCCUAAUUGCAUGGGUCCUUAACAGUGGAGAGUCGACUGCAGUGGUAUGAAGGAAAUGCAGCUAUGGAAGAAACGGUCUGAGAAAUGGUACAUUGCUGGCUUUGUGGAUGGAGGAAAGUGGUCAUGAGCCAAGGGAUGUGUACUACCUCUAGAAGCUGGAAAAGGGAAGAAAACAGAUUUGCCCUAAAGCCUCCAGAAUGAAAUCCAGACCUACUGACACCCUGGUUUUAGCUCAGUGAGACCCAUGGUGGGCUUCUGAAGGCAAAAUUGUAAGAUAAUAAAUGUGUUAAGACACUAAAUUUAUGGUGAUAUGCUACACAGUGGUAGAAAAUUAGUACAAGAUGAAAAAGAUUUAAAAGGAAAUGACAGAUAUACAUAUAUAGGAAACAGGCAAGGAAGACCCUGUACACAUGGGUACACGUGCAUGCGCACACACACACAGAUAUAUUAGUUCCUAAAGAAAUAAAAUCAGCCAGGCGCGGUGGCUCACGCCUGUAAUCCCAGCACUUUGGGAGGCUGAGACAGGUGGAUCACCUGAGGUCAGGAGUUCAAGACCAGCCUCAACAUGGAGAAACCCUGUCUCUACUAAAAACACAAAAUUAGCUGGGCGUGGUGGUGCAGGCCUGUAAUCCCAGCUACUCAGGAGGCUGAGGCAGGAGACUUGCUUGAACCUGGGAGGCGGAGGUUGCAGUGAGCCGAGAUCGUGCCAUUGCACUCCAUCCUGGGCAACAAGAGUGAAACUCCGUCUCAAAAAAAAAAAAAAAAAAAAGAAAAUCAAAAGGAAUAGAUCCAAACAAACAAGAUGUAUAAUUCAGGAAAGGUUUCCUGAAAUAAGCAUAUACUUGAAACGACAUAUUGAAAGAUUAUCUAAACACCUUGGAAAAUGGAGUCCAAAUAUCCAAUACCAAGACAUUCUAGUAAAAUUAUUGGAAGAGAAAGGAAAGAAGGAAGAAGGGGAAAGAAGGAAGAAGGGGAAAGAGGGAAGAAAUAAAAUUUCUUGGGGUUCCUUUCCCCACCAAAAGAAGAUGCACUGACAUUUUGAAAGAAAAUUAGUUUGACAUCAGAUUUUUCAACAGCAAUGCCUUAUGUCAGAACAAAAUGGAGUUACAUAUUCAGGCCAAGUGUGGUGGCGCACACCUGUAAUCCCAGCACUUUGGGAGGCUGAGGCGGGUGAAUCGCUUGAGCCCAGGAGUUCAAGAGCAUCCAGGGCAAUGUGGCAAAACCCCGUCUCUUCAAAAAAUUAGCCAGGCAUGGUGGCAUGCACCUGUAGUUCCAGCUAUUGAGGAGGCUGAGCUGAAAGGAUCGUUUGAGCCCAGGAGGUUGAGGCUGCAGGGAGCUAUGAUCUGCACUCCAGCCUGAGUAACAAAGUGAGACUCUGUCUCAAAAAAAAUAAAAAAAAUAAAAUAAAAUGAAAAAAGAUACUCGAGGAAAGUAAAGAUAAGCCAAAAUAAUUUUCAAGUAUAAAAGCAGCAAAGUGUUACCAAAAUGCAAAGACUCAGGAAAUACAGUUACCAUAAGCUAUUCCUAAGGAAUCUACUAGUGAACAAGUUUCAAACAGUCACAAUGACUGCAGAGACAUUGACGUAAAGACAGAUGGCAAAUAUUAAGUGGGUGGGUAGGUAGAUACAGCUGUAGAUAUGGCCAGCUGUUUGCUGGAGGCAAUUUGGACAAGCUUAUGAGAGCCAAUGAACUUUUCAAGAAUUUUAUGAGUUGGUUAUUAAACAUAGACAUUAUGAACAGUUAAAGUAUAUACAUGUACGUACAUUUAAAUAAAUUAAAAACAGUAAACACUAAAAACACAUCGCUUCAUAAUUAUGUUACUACAUUUUACAAUUAUCUAUGCUUUUGAGGUUAUUUACAUUGAUUGUAUCAAAUGGUGGAGAUAGGGUCAGCUUCUGCACAUCUUUUCCCGAACUCCACAUUUAAUGAUGUCACCUUGAUAGCUCACCAAUGGUGAAAGUAUUUACUCCAUGGAAAGCUGCAAAAUGCUAUGAAUCAGGGCUUUUUCCCCCUUUUUCUGGAGAGUCUCUUGUUAAACAUUUCCUAGCACAUCAAUGGAUUCAAAAAAGAGAAGCUAGUAUGCAACAGAUCCAUGACUUGACAAUGUAGAUACACCACCACUCUGAAGACAUAUGAGGAGGGCACUGGGAGAGCGUAUGAAAAAUGUCUUUUUAGCCUUUCAGUAAUCAUUUUGGGUGAUAGUGAUGUCAUCGUUAUUCUGAGAAUGGAGUGUGUGCAAUGUCAAUUAAAGCAAAUAAAUAAUCAUAUGAUAUAUUUAAUUGUGUUAUCCUCUCUGUUUUGAAAACCAGGAUUUGGCCGUGGAUGGUGGCUCACACUUGUAGUCCCAGCACUUUGGGAGGCUGAGGCAGGUGGAUCACUUGAGGUCAGGAGUUUGAGAUCAGCUGGCCAACAUGGAGAAAACCCCGUGUCUACUAAAAAAUACAAAAAUUAGGCCGGGCACGGUGGCUCACGCCUGUAAUCCCAGCACUUUGGGAGGCCGAGG